GACAUUUAUUUUUACCAGAGCCAAAACUAGUUCUCGUUUAAUGAGGCAUUCACGUGUAUAAGUCUGGUGACAUUUGUAAACUCCCUCUCACAGGUGGCAAGGUAUUUGCCAGCUUUUGUUUUAUUCUCAUUGCAAAGAUGAAAUAAACGUUUUAUUGUAAAACAUUUAACAACAAUGCUGCUCAACUUUAAAUCAGGAGAAGCAGUAAAAAAAGGAACACAGUGUUUUGAGAUUUGUGUAGGAAUGAUUUUUGACUGUUCAAAUGAAUAAUUCUCAGCUACAGAAUUUAAUCAGUUAAAUUAUUUAGAAUAUAAAAUUUCAUAUAUAAUCUGUACUCAAAUGUUAUACCUAUAUAAAAAAAUUAUAUUUAAAAAAUCUUAAUUAAAUACGAAUGCUGCACUGAAAUUGAAAUUUUCGACUGUUCUUGAAUGUCUCUUCCUUUUCCAUUUCCUGUCCCAUCUCCCGGAAUCUUCCAUUCGGCUCUUUCAUCGGAAGUGACUGAAAAAAACCUGCUGACCUCUUCUGUGGCUGGCUAACCUCACAUUGCUGUGAUCUAUCGCUCUGACUGACGGAACUGGACCAGAACUCCUACUUUGCUGAGAGAACUGGACCGGGUCUCCUGCUUUGGAUUUCUUUUUAGAGCUCUCCAGUACAUUCAUCACUCAUUGGAAGGGAACUCAACCAGAACUCCUGCUUAGCAGGUGUUCUGUGGACUGGCCUCCUGCCAGUGGACGUAUCCUUUCCAUUUAUCAGAUCAAUAUUUCUGGAACUGUUUUUCAGACAUUUAUUCUUGACUCUGUUUAUCAGAUCAAUAUUUCUGGAACUGUUUUUCAGACAUUUAUUCUUGGCUCUGUUUAUCAGAUCAAUAUUUCUGGAACUGUUUUUCAGACAUUUAUUCUUGGCUCUGUUUAUCAGAUCAAUAUUUCUGGAACUGUUUUUCAGACAUUUAUUCUUGGCUCUGUUUAUCAGAUCAAUAUUUCUGGAACUGUUUUUCAGACAUUUAUUCUUGGCUCUGUAUUUUAUGGUUCUCAGAACUUUUCAGACUUUUCAGACUUUUCAGAUUGAUUUCAGAAAAUUUCAGAACAUUUUGAGAGAUUGAUUUCAGAAAAUUUCAGAACAUUUUGAGAGAUUGAUUUCAGAACAUUUCAGAACAUU